rnacentral:rRNA from 1 species
GACGAACGCUGGCGGCGUGCUUAACACAUGCCAGUCGAACGGUGAAGCGCCUUCCUUUUUGGUGGGUGUGGAUGAGUGGCGAACGGGUGAGUAACACGUGAGUAACCUGCCCCCUUCUUCUGGAUAACCGCAUGAAAGUGUGGCUAAUACGGGAUAUUCUGGGUCUGUCGCAUGAUGGGUCUGGGAAAGAUAUUGUUUCGGUGGGGGAUGGGCUCGCGGCCUAUCAGCUUGUUGGUGGGGUGAUGGCCUACCAAGGCGGUGACGGGUAGCCGGCCUGAGAGGGUGGACGGUCACACUGGGACUGAGACACGGCCCAGACUCCUACGGGAGGCAGCAGUGGGGAAUAUUGCACAAGGGGCGCAAGCCUGAUGCAGCGACGCCGCGUGAGGGAUGGAGGCCUUCGGGUUGUGAACCUCUUUCGCCAGUGAAGCAGGCCUGCCUCGUUUGUGGGUGGGUUGACGGUAGCUGGAUAAGAAGCGCCGGCUAACUACGU